UGCUACCGCAGUACUCGAUCAAUAAAAGAGCUAAGCUACUGAAAAGCUAUUCCGAAAACAGCGAUGCUAUUGAGAAGUAGUUAAACUAGUAACGAUACUGCCCAACACUGCUUGCAAUACAUGUUGGAUUUAGCAAAAACAACAACCUAA